AGCCGGUACUCGCGAAUGCCCUANGCUUAAUUUGAUCAUGGCUCAGAUCCAACGCUGNUAAGCAGGCCUAACACAUGCAAGUCGAGCGGAUAGACGGGAGCUUGCUCCUUGAUUCAGCGGCGGACGGGUAGAGUAAUAGCCUAGGAAUCUGCCUAGGUAGUAGGGGGACAACGUUUCGAAAGGAACGCUAAUACCGCAUACGUCCUACGGGAGAAAGCAGUGGGACCUUCGGGCCUUGCGCUAUCAGAUGAGCCUAGUGUCAGAUUAGCUAGUUGGUGAGGUAGUAGGCUACACCAAGGCGACGAUCCGUAACUGGUACUAGAGAGGAUAGAUCAGUACACACUGGAACUAGAGACACGGUCCAGACUCCUACGGGAGGCAGCAGUGGGGAAUAUAUGGACAAUGGGCGAAAGCCUAGAUACCAGCCAUGCCGCGUAGUAGUGAAGAAGGUCUAUCGGAUUGUAAAGCACUUUAAGUNAGGGAGGAAGGGCAGUAAGCUAAUACCUUGCUGUAUUUGACGUAUACCGACAGAAUAAGCACCGGCUAACUACUAGUAGCCAGCAGCCGCGGUAAUACAGAGGGUAGCAAGCGUAUAAUCGGAAUNACUGGGCNGUAAAAAGCAGCCGCGGAAAGGANAGGUAAGGAAAGUNGGAUGUGAAAGCCCGGGCNACAACCUGGGAACNUGCAUCAAACUGGGCAGNGCUA
rnacentral:rRNA from 1 species